GACGAACGCUGGCGGCGUGCUUAACACAUGCAAGUCGAACGGAAAGGCCCUGCUUUUGUGGGGUGCUCGAGUGGCGAACGGGUGAGUAACACGUGAGUAACCUGCCCUUGACUUUGGGAUAACUUCAGGAAACUGGGGCUAAUACCGGAUAGGAGCUCCUGCUGCAUGGUGGGGGUUGGAAAGUUUCGGCGGUUGGGGAUGGACUCGCGGCUUAUCAGCUUGUUGGUGGGGUAGUGGCUUACCAAGGCUUUGACGGGUAGCCGGCCUGAGAGGGUGACCGGCCACAUUGGGACUGAGGUACGGACCAGACUCCUACGGGAGGCAACAGUGGGGAAUAUUGCACAAUGGGCGGGAGCCUGAUGCAGCAACGCCGCGUGCGGGAUGACGGCCUUCGGGUUGUAAACCGCUUUCGCCUGUGACGAAGCGUGAGUGACGGUAAUGGGUAAAGAAGCACCGGCUAACUACGUG
rnacentral:rRNA from 1 species